GACCGGGUUCACCACGGGGGCCAGCUGUGCCAUCUCUUCCUCUUAGUCCCGGUGGACCUUCAAUUCCAGGAUCACCUACAAAAACAAUGGAAAUGAAGCAUUCAUUUCAUAAUACUAUAAGGUGUAAAUACAAUGACCCCUAACAAACCUGAAAUAUAGUACUGCUCCAUCCUUGGGAACUCCUAGUCAAUGGGCUUGUUGCCUGGUUCCAUGGAAGUGUCACCGACAACCAAUAAGGUGCAACAAACAUUAGUGGAACCACAUGUGAAAACCACAUUAAAAUGGUGGCAAGACUAACCUGGAAUGAGCCAACAUGAACUGCAGCUAUGAACUGGAUCACUUACACAAAGAUAUGAGUCCAAAGAGCAAUCCCAGAAGGAAGAGUAGACCCAGGAUCAGACCGAGUGUCCACAUCCACCAUUUACAGCAAGAACCACAUGGUCCACAGGCGCUGUCAGUUCCACCGUCUCUUCUCUCCACAUAGUGAUCUGCUCCAGCCUUCAAGCCAUCAACCCGAUGAAUUUCUGUGAAGAACAGUAUAUUAUGUAUCUAUCCAAUGUCAAAUUCUGUGGUAUAUGCUGACAACCCAGGAGAAUGAGAUACUAACAUUGUGCCACACAGUAGUAAAGACCAAUGGGGAUACCAUGCAUAGGUAUAUAGGCUCCUAAAUAGUCUUAUGGAAUUUGCCAAUAUUGGGGUCUGUCCACAAUAAUAUUUGAUAGAAUGAUAAUAAACUCCAUUUCA